CUACGGGUCGCUCCAGUGGGGAAUAUUGCACAAUGGGCGCAAGCCUGAUGCAGCCAUGCCGCGUGUAUGAAGAAGGCCUUCGGGUUGUAAAGUACUUUCAGCGGGGAGGAAGGGAGUAAAGUUAAUACCUUUGCUCAUUGACGUUACCCGCAGAAGAAGCACCGGCGACUCCGUGCCAGCAGCCGCGGUAAUACGGAGGGUGCAAGCGUUAACAGGAAUUACUGGGCGUAAAGCGCACGCAGGCGGUUUGUUAAGUCAGAUGUGAAAUCCCCGGGCUCAACCUGGGAACUGCAUCUGAUACUGGCAAGCUUGAGUCUCGUAGAGGGGGGUAGAAUUCCAGGUGUAGCGGUGAAAUGCGUAGAGAUUUGGAGGAAUACCGGUGGCGAAGGCGGCCCCCUGGACGAAGACUGACGCUCAGGUGCGAAAGCGUGGGGAGCAAACAGGAUUAGAUACCCUCGUAGUC
rnacentral:rRNA from 1 species